rnacentral:lncRNA from 1 species
ACCUCUCUACCCUCAGUAUAUAUCAGCUGAGGUUUUCAAGUUCAACGUCAUGAACUAGUCCACGCUUUUCCUGCCUUCUCUUGACAGUUCUGCGCUGUUCUUUGCAAUUCGAGUUCUAUCUUCACUGUUCUUUUUUAGUCUUUUAUUGUGGUAAAGUACACAUAACUUGAAGUUUAUUGUUCUGACCGUUUUUAAAGUAUACAACUCAGGUAUUAAGUACAUUCACAAUAUUGUGUCAUCAUAACCACUGUUUCCAAAAGUUUUUUACUCUAAACACAAAGUCCAGUAACUCCCCUCUUCCCCUCCCCCAGUCCGUUCUGCCUCUGAAUUUGUUUGUUCUAGAUGCCUCACAGAAUUGAAAUCAUACAAUAGUUGCCUUUUUCAGCUUAUUUCACGUCAGUUUUCAAGGUUCAUCCACGCUGUAGUGUAUCUCAGACUUCAUUCCUUUGUAUGGCUGGAUACAUACAUAUGGCCGAGCGGCUGUAUAACAAUUUGUUUAUCCAUUGAUGGACACUAGGUUGCUGCCAUUUUUUGCCUACUGUGAAUAACGCUGCUGUGAACAUGUGUUUACAUGUGUCUGUAUGAGUCUCUGAUUUUGAUUCUUUGGGAUAUACAUACCUUGGCGUGGAAUUGCUAGGUCAUGUGGUAAAUCUGUGUGUUUUUUGACUUGUUUUUGUUUUAUUUUUAAAGACCCCUUCCCCUCCAUUUAAAAAGUUUCAUUAAAUUUGUUACAAUAUUGUUCUCUGUUUGGGGUUUUUGGCCAUGAGGCAUGUGGAACCUUAGUUCCCCAGCAGGGAUUGAAGCCGCACACCCUGCGUUUGGAAGUGCUCCUGGCAGACUUAACUGAGUGUUGCUUUUCUUCCUCCUUCCUCCCGCAGGGUCCUAUAUCUGGUCAAGCUGACAAGUGCAGGCAGUGCUGCCUCUGAUUCUCCUUGCCACUCACUUUCACAGCUCUAUUGCAAACCCAGCCUCUUUUUGGAAUUUCUUUUUUCUAACUGGCUCCCUGGUUCUAGAUUUUAUUUCCCUCUGGCCCAAAUCAUUUUAUACAUUGCUCCUAGGAUUUUCUUCCUAAGGCUAGUUUGUAAAGUUGAUCUCCAGUGAAUCUUCCAGGAGGAAGCAGAAGUGAGGAGAAGACAGUUAAUAGAUACGA